UAGGGAAUCUUCCGCAAUGGGCGAAAGCCUGACGGAGCAACGCCGCGUGAGUGAUGAAGGUCUUCGGAUCGUAAAACCCUGUUAUUAGGGAAGAACAUAUGUGUAAGUAACUGUGCACAUCUUGACGGUACCUUAUCAGAAAGCCACGGCUAACUACGUGCCAGCAGCCGCGGUAAUACGUAGGUGGCAAGCGUUAUCCGGAAUUAUUGGGCGUAAAGCGCGCGUAGGCGGUUUUUUAAGUCUGAUGUGAAAGCCCACGGCUCAACCGUGGAGGGUCAUUGGAAACUGGAAAACUUGAGUGCAGAAGAGGAAAGUGGAAUUCCAUGUGUAGCGGUGAAAUGCGCAGAGAUAUGGAGGAACACCAGUGGCGAAGGCGACUUUCUGGUCUGUAACUGACGCUGAUGUGCGAAAGCGUGGGGAUCAAACAGGAUUAGAUACCCUGGUAGUCCACGCCGUAAGCGGUGAGUGCUAAGUGUUAGGGGGUUUCCGCCCCUUAGUGCUGCAGCUAACGCAUUAAGCACUCCGCCUGGGGAGUACGACCGCAAGGUUG
rnacentral:rRNA from 1 species